rnacentral:rRNA from 1 species
CCUACGGGUGGCAGCAGUGAGGAAUAUUGGUCAAUGGGCGCGAGCCUGAACCAGCCAAGUCGCGUGAAGGAUGACUGCCCUACGGGUUGUAAACUUCUUUUAUAAAGGAAUAAAGUGUAGCACGUGUGCCUUUUUGUAUGUACUUUAUGAAUAAGGAUCGGCUAACUCCGUGCCAGCAGCCGCGGUAAUACGGAGGGUCCGAGCGUUAUCCGGAUUGAGUGGGUUUAAAGGGAGCGUAGGUGGGUUGUUAAGUCAGUUGUGAAAGUUUGCGGCUCAACCGGAAAAUUGCAAUUGAUACUGGCAGCCUUGAGUACAGUAGAGGUAGGCAGAAUUCGUGGUGUAGCGGUGAAAUGCUUAGAGAUCACGAAGAACUCCGAUUGCGAAGGCAGCCUACUAAACUGCCACUGACAUUGAUGCUCGAAAGUGUGGGUAUCAAACAGGAUUAGAUACCCUAGUAGUC